GCAACAUAGAGACGCAGCAAUAUGAUAUAACCAGUUUGAACAGAUCAGCAGAGUUAAGAGACAAGGGUCAGAGGAGCCUCUCAUAUAAAACUUUCUGAUCUACCAGCAAUGCAGUACCUCUGGGUGGCUUUGAUUAUCUUGGUCAUGAGUCUUGUCUUCCAGCUAUGGAAGAGGCCAAGAAACUUCCCUCCAGGACCAUGGGCUAUACCAGUGCUUGGGAAUUUCCUGCAAUUGGAUUACAGGAACCCAGUCCCUGAUUUCAGCAAGCAAAAAUAAAGAUUCAUCUUACAGAAGGGCAGAGGACUUUUAUCACUUUGGAAGAAGCUUUGGAGUUUUUACAGAGGAAUAAAAUUCUAGAAAAAAAUGAAGAAAUGGGCUGCAGUUUGUCUACACCUCUCAAAAGAAAUGCAACAAGGAAUGGAUGGUCAGUUAAAGAGAAAACAGUAAAAAACAGAAAGCUAAAUGAAAAAUGCAUUCAUGUUCAUUGUAAUAUUUGUUCUGUAACGUAAAAGGUUUAUAAAAAGUAAAGACCAGAUAAUAAUAUCACUUUUUACUAGGAAAAUCAUUUUAUUCCUUAUUUCAAAUUAUCUUAUUUUAAGUUAUAUGUAUAAGUGAAGCUAAUUAAUUCCAGAUACAGCUUAAUCAGUCAUAAUAUACCUAUCAUUAAAUGUAAAAUAUCAAUAUGAUGAAGCUUAUGUAAAGAAAUAAACAUUUUAAGUUCUUAAUAUUAUGGUUAUGUGAUUUGCUAUUAAAGACAAUCCUUGGAAUAUAAUAUGACAGCAAAAAAGUAUGCUAAGUUGCAAUCUAAUUCACAUAUGUGGCUGUUUUAUAUAUACAAAAGAUAGUAUUAUAAUGUUGCUAAACAAUUAGCACAUCAUUGACAGCUAUACAAGCUAAAUUCAUACCCCACAUUCCUAGCAUUCUUUCAACAUAUGUUUUAUUGUUAGAUCUCAUUUAAAGAUUAAAUAAUACAUAAAAACCUGAGAAAGCAUCUGCACAUGAAAGAAUUGGAGUCAUUGUUUUAUCUCUAAUUAUGCUUUGUUACUGUCUUAUAAUAUUUAAUAGUUAUUUCCCAAUUAAGGUAACUUGCUAAGUAAGCUUUUGUUUAAAAUGAAGGUUAAAAAUGAACACGUGCAAUUGUUGCAAGUUUAUCUGUACAUGCAGAAUUUCUGAAAUUAUAUUAUCCAUUUUUUUUAUUUUCUUGAUUAGAUGGCUUUGAAGGUAUAAUAUUUAAUGUUUAAAUUCACUCACAAAUGCAGUGGGCAUUUCUGUGCAUUCAAGUAGAGCUAAACAAACUAUUUUCACACAUUUAACUUUAAUUUAGUUUUAAAAGAAGCUAUUUAGUGGUGCAAGCACUUUUGUGAGGCUUUAUAAGCUUUAAAAGGUUCUAAGAGUUGUUAUUCUUAAAUUCUACUUCUUCCUUAAAGUGAAAGCUGAUCUUUCAACUAACCCUCUGAACUGGAAGUGAUGUAUUACAAUGUUAAAAUGGGAACUGCAAUGUGAUUUAAGCACUAAUACUGAUAAAUUAACUUAAAAACAUUCAUAUUUAGGUAUUAAAACACAUUGUAUUAAACCACACAUAAGGAAUACACAUAAGGAAUAUAAUAUAACAAAUUAAAGGUAAAAAAAAGCUUUAAAACCAAUAAUAACUGAUUUGUAAUUUUGAUUGCUUGCUAUAUAUUAUCAACUUGACUGCUUGUUAUAUAAUAACAGAUGAACUACACUGCAGCUUAUAAUAAGACACUUUUGGUAUGACAAAAAUGAUUAUAUUCCCUGGUAUUUGAUUUACAAAUCACAGACAGAUUAUAUUUGAUAGAUUUUACUUAUAAAAUAUCUGAUGUUAGUUCAAAUUCCCUCUGAUAAAAUGCAUAAAUAAAAUAGACUGAUUGUGAGAAAUGAAAGUAUAUAAUAAAUGAUGGAACUAGAAUAACAAUUUCCUGAUAUAUAAGGAAUGGUAUAUCUGUUUUUUCAAAUAACAUAGUGCAUAUGGAUUAUUACUGAAGUAUGGAGUUCAUGUAAAUUACAAAUGGUACAAUAUAGAUAGUAUGAGCAAGA